CAGAUCACCAAAGCAGCAGGAUGUGAUCUGCCCCACUGAAAAAGCUUACUCACGAAGUUUUCCAUUCCUUAAAAGUCUCACUAUGCUGCCAGCAGCCUGAGUCCCUAGCAGAAGCCCAAGGGAACCUCUCAGCCGCCCCCACAACUGUUCAAUGACCUGAACAGGCCCCAGCGCCGGAGAUAGUAGGACAAGCAAUUAACCCCAACACUGAACGAAUCCGUCUCUCCAAAGGCAACAGAGGCAAAGAGCCAAGAGGAGGUAGCUGUAGCCAUUGUUGGUUGUUUGGAUCUGACGGGAAGUUGUUUGCCCUUUCGUCAACAGCGAUGAAUGCUUUUUGAGUGCGUAGAGGUAUCACGGCCUUGGAUUGGGCACACCUCCGGCUUUUCACAAGCCCUCCGUUCUGCAAGGCGGCAGUAGCAUUUCAGAGCAAACAUCACUGCCAGGCACGGGCCAUGCCAUUUCUACUUUCCAAGGGACCCUUUCCAUACACAGUCCCAGACAACAGCAGUCUUCUUUGUAGCAGCCAUGGGAGAGGCUCAGAGCUUCAGGGAGGAAGGGCUGGAGAGAUGGUUCAGAGGUUAAGAGCACUGGCUGCUCUUCCAGAGGUCAUGC